rnacentral:rRNA from 1 species
UACGUAGGGUGCGAGCGUUAAUCGGAAUUACUGGGCGUAAAGCGUGCGCAGGCGGUUUUGUAAGUCAGAUGUGAAAUCCCCGGGCUUAACCUGGGAACUGCGUUUGAAACUACAAGGCUAGAGUGUGGCAGAGGGGGGUGGAAUUCCACGUGUGGCAGUGAAAUGCGUAGAGAUGUGGAGGAACACCGAUGGCGAAGGCAGCCCCCUGGGUUAACACUGACGCUCAGGCACGAAAGCGUGGGGAGCAAACAGG